rnacentral:tRNA from 1 species
GGUUGUAGCUCAGUGGUAGAGUGCUUGCCUAGCAUGUAUGGGGCACUGGGUUCGAUUCUCAACACCA